rnacentral:lncRNA from 1 species
UUUUUGCAAAAUUGGAGGCAAUUCUCUUGGGAAAGAUCUUGAUCUUUUACUUUUUUUUUCCUCUCAGUUUUGUUUUAGGUUAGUAUGAUCUGAACAUGCACAUUUUGGUUUGUCGAUCCAAAUGGAAACUUCGUGCUUCAGGUUAACUGGACAUAAAAUUUAAACUAUUCCUAAACCAUUAUGGUGUCUUGUGGAAGAAUUCAAAUACCUCUGCAAGCAGCAGCCCCUCAUCUGGUUGAAAUGCUGUGUUGAAAGUCACAUGCCAGUAGAAGAUCAUGGGACAUAUAAACCCGCCAAGAUUCUUCCUGGAGAAAAGAAAAAAAUGUACAUUAUGCAUUGUGGCAGAGCGCUGAGCAUUUCCAGCUCCUGGCAUCACACUGGGAUCUAGCUGUAUUCAGCAGCUCACCACAGUGAACUUUUUCGGUGAGGACAGAAAAGAUAGAUGUUUGCAGAUGGCACAUUUGAGGAUCAUACUUCCCAUACGUGUUGCAAGAUUAAGUAAAGUAAGCACACCAUAGGCAUGUAUUUUAUGUUACCAUUUUUUGUAAUAUAACACUGAUGGUUUAGCUGUUAGCACCCCUGUGUUGCAGGAUGCAGGACUACCGCAGGAUUUUUGCGCAUGCUCUGGAUGUGA